ensembl:lncRNA
CUGGAAGUAGCGAAGGAUAGACUCUGGAAAUUCUGUUGAACUUUGCCGAUGUUCAAACUUUUGAAGUGUUUGAUUCCGGAAGUACUGAAGAAUAGACUCUGGAAAUUCGGUCGAACCUUUGGCGAUGUUAAAACUUUCGAAGUGCUCGACUUUUAUAAACAGGUUCGUAUGCAUGCUAGUGUGUGUGUGGGGUGUGUGUGUGCGUGGGAGUGCAUCAGAACGGGGUUUUACGGUGUUGACCUUUGACCUAGGCCUGACUCAGAGUGCUUCAUAUUCUACGUGAAAGGAAAAGAUCGUGUGUCCCGGGACCGAGAACUUGAAAAGCAAAACGGUUCCUUUUUCUGCAUCGAAAAAAAACCCAGCUGUACAUCCGUUUGACAUUACCCAAUAUUGAAUCUUUUCAUGUUCUAACAUUUUUUCUAUUCUUCCCAAAAAAGGGUGAGCUUUUUUAGGCGCAUUAGGACAAACAUCAGCCAUGUUGUAAGCUCGCACACGUUGUUCUAAGUACAGAGUAUUAUAAAACCUAGAGGGAUGCUCGACUUUUAUAAGCAGGUUCGUAUGCAUGCGUUUGUACGUGUACGUGCACAUGUGUGUUUGUGCGGGGGUGUGUGUGUGUGUGUGUGUGUGUGUCAUAUUUUUGUUUGGAUGUGGAAUACACAUGGCCAUACCAUGUAUGGUAACGUUUCUGUCAUGAAUGGAUGUGAUCCAGAUUUAACAUAACUAUAUAUAUUUUUAUGAUCUACCACAGAGAGUUUCCUAUUCUAUGUGAAAAGAAAGAACAUGUGUGUGCAACUUGUGUGGGUGGAAAACAUAUGGCCGUACCAGGUAUGGUAACGUUUCUGUCACGAAUGGAUGUGAUCCAGAUUUAACAUAACUAUAUAUAUUUUUAUGACCUACCACAGAGUGUUAGAAAGAACAUGUGUGCAACGUGUGUCGGGUGGAAAACACAUGGCCGUACCAUGUAUGGUAACGUUUCUGUCACGAAUGGAUGUGAUCCAGAUUUAACAUAACUAUAAAUAUUUUUAUGAUCAUGACCUUUGAUCUAGAUAUAGAGUUAGAAUGUGUAUCUUUUUGACCUUUG